rnacentral:rRNA from 1 species
UACGAAGGGGGCUAGCGUUGCUCGGAAUGACUGGGCGUAAAGGGCGCGUAGGCGGAUGGCACAGUCAGAUGUGAAAUUCCCGGGCUUAACCUGGGGCUGCAUUUGAUACGUGUUGUCUAGAGUGAGGAAGAGGGUCGUGGAAUUCCCAGUGUAGAGGUGAAAUUCGUAGAUAUUGGGAAGAACACCGGUGGCGAAGGCGGCUCACUGGCUCAUUACUGACGCUCGAGGCGCGACAGCGUGGGAUCAAACAGG